UACGUAGGUGGCAAGCGUUGUCCGGAAUUAUUGGGCGUAAAGCGCACGCAGGCGGUCUCUUAAGUUUGGAGUGACAGUUGGUGGCUUAACUGCCAAAGUGCUUCGAAAACUGAGAGACUUGAGGGCUUCAGAGGGACACGGAAUUCCGGGUGGAGUGGUGAAAUGCGUAGAGAUCCGGAGGAACACCAAAGGCGAAGGCAGUGUCCUGGGGAGUACCUGACGCUCAGGUGCGAAAGCCAGGGGAGCGAACGGG
rnacentral:rRNA from 1 species